GACGAACGCUGGCGGCGCGCUUAACACAUGCAAGUCGAACGGAAAGGCCUGCUUUCCCUUGUGGAUUGCGGGUACUCGAGUGGCGAACGGGUGAGUAACACGUGAGUGAUCUGCCCCCAACUUGGGUAUAAGCCUGGGAAACUGGGUCUAAUUCCCGAUAGGACUGCAGGGUGGUGCCUGUGGUGGAAAACGAUUUUCUAGUGGUUGGGGAUGAGCUCGCGGCCUAUCAGCUUGUUGGUGGGGUAAUGGCCUACCAAGGCGGCGACGGGUAGCCGGCCUGAGAGGGUGGACGGCCACAUUGGGACUGAGAUACGGCCCAGACUCCUACGGGAGGCAGCAGUGGGGAAUAUUGCACAAUGGGCGGAAGCCUGAUGCAGCGACGCCGCGUGGGGGAUGACGGCCUUCGGGUUGUAAACUCCUUUCGACCGCGAGGAAGCCACCUGGUUGGAAGGGUGGUGACGGUAGUGGGAGAAGAAGCACCCGCUAACUACGUG
rnacentral:rRNA from 1 species